GCCUAGUUAGCUUGGUUGGGCGUCUGCCUCGUAAGCGCUAGGCCGCGGGUUCGAUUCCCGCCCAGGGCG
rnacentral:tRNA from 1 species